rnacentral:lncRNA from 1 species
AGAAAUACAGACCUUCUGCACGGUGAGUUUGAUGGCAUGUUGCCCGUCCGGGAGCAAUCCAAAGUUGAACUGCAAGUCCCAGUUUUGCCCUAGCUUUCCUGAAGCAGCCUACCUGCAAAACAUGUGUUACACCCUUACGAUGUAGGACGUCCUUCUGUGCCUCGAGAUGACAGCUGCUCAGAUACAGGUUGCUAACAAUUUGGCAUAAGCUGUCUCGAGUGCCUGUAUCAACAGGAGGCUUUUUGCUUGCAAAUGUUUUUGCAAUAGCCGCCUUUGCAAGCCAGAAGGACGCCUGGUUGUCCAACGCCCCUGCCAUGUGACCAUCGGGGCCGGACCAAGAGCAGCAGAGCUGUCAACGCGAAAUCAGUGACUUCUCCAUCGUGCUACGGUGCAGAUAAUUU